rnacentral:rRNA from 1 species
GCGCGCAGGCGGUCUGCCAAGUUCGGAGUGACAGUUUCCGGCUUAACUGGGAAAGGUCUUCGAAAACUGGUGGACUUGAGAACUUGAGGGGGAGACGGAAUUCCGGGUGGAGCGGUGAAAUGCGUAGAGAUCCGGAGGAACACCGAAGGCGAAGGCAGUCUCCUGGCAAGUUUCUGACGCUCAGGUGCGAAAGCUAGGGGAGCGAACAGGAUUAGAUACCCUGGUAGUCCUAGCCGUAAACGAUGACCACUAGGCGUGGGAGGUAUCGACCCCUUCUGUGCCGCAGCUUACGCAUUAAGUGGUCCGCCUGGGGAGUACGGUCGCAAGAUUAAAACUCAAAGGAAUUGACGGGGACCCGCACAAGCAGCGGAGCGUGUGGUUUAAUUCGAUACAACGCGAAGAACCUUACCAGGACUUGACAUGCAACUGCACCACCCGUAAUGGGGUGUCCCUUCGGGGCGAUUGCACAGGUGCUGCAUGGCUGUCGUCAGCUCGUGUCGUGAGAUGUUGGGUUCAGUCCCGCAACGAGCGCAACCCCUGCCGCUAGUU